AUUGUAAUGCACAUGCUAAAAAAAAAGUAAGAACGUUAAAUCAACAAAAAAUUUGGUGAAAAAGUUAAAUAGAAAAAGCACCAUCCACAAAGGACCAAUAAUUUUGCCAAUGUCCACAUCAUGGGGUCCAAUGUCCCUAAAUCGUAGUAUUGAUAUCUAAUCAGCUUCCUCUUGCAGUUGUAUACCACCUCAUAUUUCCACACUGCCUCUCUUUCUCUUUGCAUUUUCAUAUAUUAUAUAUAUACACACACACACACAAACACACGUAUGCAUACCCUCUCUAUUGAUCACGAUCUAGCUUAUUGAUGGUUGCAAGGGAAGUUACAUGCAAAGCAAAAGGAGACAGCACAAGGCAAACGGGCAAUUAAACCAAGGCAUCACAGCCACAGCCGUGCCUCCACCACUACAACCACCAUUUUCUUGUGACUCCUUGGCUGGGAAAUUUUAGUCUCUCUCACAGUCACAGGUAUGUCUAUGUAAAUGCUUUCCAAUAAUUUCUUUGUUAUAGGUGAAACUAGGGUUCAAAUAAUUAACUAAAGAUGGUAACUCUUUUCUUAAAAAAAAAGAAAGUGUGUGCGUAUAAUACAUACGCACUUUAUGCUUAUUAUGAUAUAAUUAAUCCUACACUUUUUUUCUUAUUUCUUUUUAAGGAAAUAACGUGCUUCUGAGCGGAUUAGUAAUUGUG
rnacentral:lncRNA from 1 species